UACGAAGGGGGCUAGCGUUGCUCGGAAUCACUGGGCGUAAAGGGUGCGUAGGCGGGUCUUUAAGUCAGGGGUGAAAUCCUGGAGCUCAACUCCAGAACUGCCUUUGAUACUGACGAUCUGGAGAUCGGGAGAGGUUGGUGGAAUUCCGAGUGUAGAGGUGAAAUUCGUAGAUAUUCGGAGGAACACCAGUGGCGAAGGCGGCUCACUGGCCCGGUACUGACGCUGAGGUGCGAAAGCGUGGGGAGCAAACAGG
rnacentral:rRNA from 1 species